rnacentral:rRNA from 1 species
UAGGGAAUCUUCGGCAAUGGACGAAAGUCUGACCGAGCAACGCCGCGUGAGUGAAGAAGGUGUCCGGAUCGUAAAACUCUGUUGUUAGAGAAGAACAAGGACGUUAGUAACUGAACGUCCCCUGACGGUAUCUAACCAGAAAGCCACGGCUAACUACGUGCCAGCAGCCGCGGUAAUACGUAGGUGGCAAGCGUUGUCCGGAUUUAUUGGGCGUAAAGCGAGCGCAGGCGGUUUCUUAAGUCUGUUGUGAAAGCCCCCGGCUCAACCGGGGAGGGUCAUUGGAAGCUGGGAGACUUGAGUGCAGAAGAGGAGGGUGGAAUUCCAUGUGUAGCGGUGGAAUGCGUAGAUAUAUGGAGGAACACCAGUGGCGAAGGCGGCUCUCUGGUCUGUAACUGACGCUGAGGCUCGAAAGCGUGGGGAGCAAACAGG